rnacentral:rRNA from 1 species
UACAGAGGGUGCUAGCGUUGUUCGGAAUUACUGGGCGUAAAGGGCGCGUAGGCGGCGCGUUAAGUCAGACGUGAAAGCCCUGGGCUUAACCCAGGAAUUGCGUUUGAUACUGGCGUGCUAGAAGACGGGAGAGGAAAGUAGAAUUCCUAGUGUAAGAGGUGAAAUUCGUAGAUAUUAGGAGGAACACCAGUGGCGAAGGCGGCUCACUGGCCCGAUACUGACGCUGAGGCACGAAAGUGUGGGGAGCAAACAGGG